UCUUGACAUUUGAAAGAAGAGUGUGGAAGAGCUGUCUGAAUUUGCUCAGAAGUCCUGUCCUCUGCAGGAACAGGAAUAUCUGCUCCAGGGAGAAAGAAGUGAGAACACUUGAUUCAUUAUGCCUACAGUGUUGGUGGCUCUCUGUCAUAUAAUAAUAGGAAAUGGUAAAGAACUGGAGCUUUGUCACUGAGGGGAGCUGUUCUGGAGCUGGCCUGAUCCACAAUGGAGCAGCAGAUCUUGGCACACCUUUUCUGAGGCAGGGAAAUGCCAGGGCAGUGGAGAGACCUGCUAGGAGCCAGAAACUCUGUAUCCUCCUUCCACCACGCUGAAGACAGUAGCUUAAAGGAAAGGAGUGAAUGGAGGUCCCCAGAAUACAUCCAGAUGGUACGGUGAUGAGCACAAGCAGAUAAAGGAAAGCCCCAAUCUCCUGCAGAUGGUUAUUCCUGCUGAGCCCAGCUUGGUAAGCCCAGUUUGCCCCAGAGCUGGAGCGGCUUGUUCAGCUCUGUCCUUCCGUGAGCCAGUCACCAGAGGGGGACAAAGCCCCACGCACGGCAACCGCGGACUCGCACUCCUCCCCCCCGCGCCCCGAAAAGCUCCUUCCAAGAGCGUGCCAGGCGGGGAGAUGCGUUUUGGGGUCGCGGGUCCCCAACUGCACCCAUGGGUGCCCCAAGCCCCAGCGCUGGGGGCGAGGGGGGUGGCAGGUGGCAAGGACCAGCCGGGUCCUCCUUGCUAUUGCAUGGCACCACUGUCCCUUCAGCCUGGAAAAGAUGUGCGUGCUUAAAAAAAAAAAAAAAAAGAAAAAAGAAAAAAGAAAAACAACAAACAAACAACAAUCAGCACCAGCCCUUAAAACAACUGUAAGUUUGCUGGGGGUAAAUUAGAAGGUUGAACUCAUAUUGCAAACUCAGUUUCAGAACUGCUUGGUUUUUCCUGUAUUUCAUUGCAACAAAAAUGCUGUUUAAAAAUUACUGUUCAUAUGUAUAAAGAUAUCUGCUCCCCCCAGUUUUGAUCUGAUGCACUGAAAAAUGGAACACAGCUGAUGCUCAAGUUUUUAAGUUAGCACCACGCAUCCAGGAGAAAAAUUUGCAACCUAUGGCUCUGAAAAUGAGAGGAGAAGCAAAUUUGGUGAGUAUGAUGUAGCUUUUUCAAUAGUUACCUAUGCCUGAUUGGAACCUAUAGUGAAA